UGGGGAAUUUUGGACAAUGGGGGCAACCCUGAUCCAGCCAUGCCGCGUGAGUGAAGAAGGCCUUCGGGUUGUAAAGCUCUUUCGGCCGGGAAGAAAUCGCAUAGGUUAAUACCCUGUGUGGAUGACGGUACCGGAAUAAGAAGCACCGGCUAACUACGUGCCAGCAGCCGCGGUAAUACGUAGGGUGCGAGCGUUAAUCGGAAUUACUGGGCGUAAAGCGUGCGCAGGCGGUUUCGUAAGACAGAGGUGAAAUCCCCGGGCUCAACCUGGGAACUGCCUUUGUGACUGCGAAGCUAGAGUACGGCAGAGGGGGGUGGAAUUCCACGUGUAGCAGUGAAAUGCGUAGAGAUGUGGAGGAACACCGAUGGCGAAGGCAGCCCCCUGGGCCGAUACUGACGCUCAUGCACGAAAGCGUGGGUAGCAAACAGGAUUAGAUACCCUGGUAGUCCACGCCCUAAACGAUGUCAACUAGGUGUUGGGUGGGUAAAACCAUUUAGUACCGUAGCUAACGCGUGAAGUUGACCGCC
rnacentral:rRNA from 1 species